rnacentral:sRNA from 1 species
UGAUACAGGGGCGAAAAGUCACAAGCUGAUCGUGCUUGCACUAGAAGUUGUGACCUUGAGACCCGCCAAAACAUGAGGAUGCAGCGAGUUUCAAAGAAACUCAGCGAAUCCGAAUGUUUUUAGAAUUGCGAGAGUUGUGAAACAACGGAGCAAUUCGUAGGUAUCA